UACGUAGGUGGCAAGCGUUGUCCGGAAUUACUGGGUGUAAAGCGCGCGUAGGCGGUAGGCCAAGUCUGCUGUGAAAUCGCCCGGCUCAACUGGGCGCGGUCGGUGGAAACUGGUCAACUGGAGGACGGUAGAGGCGAGUGGAAUUCCCGGUGUAGUGGUGAAAUGCGUAGAGAUCGGGAGGAACACCAGUGGCGAAGGCGGCUCGCUGGGCCGGACCUGACGCUGAGGCGCGAAGGCGUGGGGAGCGAACAGG
rnacentral:rRNA from 1 species